UGCUACAGGAGGCAAGUGAAGCAAACUUUAUCCAAGGAGUGUAAUACUUGACACCUUUUUGGUGAACUUUAAUAAUCAUUCAAGCUUCCUUCUGCGGAUGAGACUGGACAACAGCUAGAGUUAAGAACUGAAUCUAUACCUGAUUAAAGCAGCUACUUCCUAACUGAAGAUAAAUGAAGAGGAAAGGAAGAGUAACACAUACAAGCCCUCAAACUUUUCAAUUCCAGUAAAAGAAGUAUUUAUCUGCAACAGCCGCAGUGAUCUUCAGGCUUCUGGGGAGUAAGCUUGAACCUUCAACAAUGUUUUCAAUUGUCAAAUAAUUGUCAAAUGUCCUCAUGAAGAGCUGGGAUACCAACGGAAAUGGGACUUUGAUUGUAAGGGGAUUUUUAAAUGCCGAUGUAAGAAAGAAUUUAAAAUUGAACCAACAAUAUGACAGAGACAUGGUGACAGAAAUCCUGUGCUGAAUAAAAUAAAAUACAAAUUAUAAGUUGCCAAAGCAUAAUAGAACUGUUCCUCUAUUUCAAAAAAUUUAUGGGUAGAUGUUCUUAAGCUGAUCAACUUGAAAUACAGGAGUUGAAAGUAUGAGAAGUUUUCAGUGUUUUUCUUGGUUGCAAUUAAAAAAGGUGAUAAAUUUAAUGACAAUGAGCAGAUUUCUCAAUAACUUUUUUUGGUUUUUCAGUGUUGAAAUAAAACGUCAUGAGGAUAAGAUUAGGCUACUUGCUGAGUUUCUGGCAGAUGCCAAGAAUGCAAGGUUACGGUACUGAGUUCUUGCAGGUUUUUCAUCGAGGAAUUUUUUCUGAAGCUCUUCUGAAGGUAGAUCUGGAUAGAAUGUGCUGUGGCACUUGCUUCUGGACACAUCACUGCACCUCCUGGUACAUGAUGUCAGUGCAAUCUGAGAGAAGGUCUUAGCCUUAGGCUAAGAGGAGAGCUUUCAUGAGACUGGUGCAGGCUCUACUUGAUAUAAAAUGAUUAAUUGUGGCUAAUAUAGCUCUGACAUCACAACCCAAGCCUGAUCUGACAAUUCCAGUUUUCCAUUAGUUAUGGCUUAAAUUCUGGUCUACAGAGCACAUUCGAGUCUUAUGCUCUGAACUCCCUUUUCAUAGCACAUUACACACUGAGCUGAAGCAGUCAGCAGGUCUUUGUCCCAGACAGCAGUGCCAGGAUAAACACUAACACACCUUUGAUGAAUAGUAAGGAAGCUUUCCCG
rnacentral:lncRNA from 1 species